UCAGUAAAUCUCAUGCCACUC
rnacentral:siRNA from 1 species